UCUCUUAAGAAACUUGUAAGGUCC
rnacentral:siRNA from 1 species